rnacentral:rRNA from 1 species
UGGGGAAUAUUGCAGCAAUGGGCGAAAGCCUGAUGCAGCGACGCCGCGUGAGGGAUGACGGCCUUCGGGUUGUAAACCUCUUUCAGCAGGGAAGAAGCGAAAGUGACGGUACCUGCAGAAGAAGCGCCGGCUAACUACGUGCCAGCAGCCGCGGUAAUACGUAGGGCGCAAGCGUUGUCCGGAAUUAUUGGGCGUAAAGAGCUCGUAGGCGGUUAGUCGCGUCUGCUGUGAAAACUCGAGGCUCAACCUCGGGCUUGCAGUGGGUACGGGCUGACUAGAGUGCGGUAGGGGUGACUGGAAUUCCUGGUGUAGCGGUGGAAUGCGCAGAUAUCAGGAGGAACACCGAUGGCGAAGGCAGGUCACUGGGCCGCAACUGACGCUGAGGAGCGAAAGCAUGGGGAGCGAACAGGAUUAGAUACCCUGGUAGUCCAU